rnacentral:rRNA from 1 species
GAUGAACGCUGGCGGCGUGCCUAAUACAUGCAAGUCGAGCGAACAGAUGAGGAGCUUGCUCCUCUGACGUUAGCGGCGGACGGGUGAGUAACACGUGGAUAACCUACCUAUAAGACUGGGAUAACUUCGGGAAACCGGAGCUAAUACCGGAUAAUAUAUUGAACCGCAUGGUUCAAUAGUGAAAGACGGUUUUGCUGUCACUUAUAGAUGGAUCCGCGCCGCAUUAGCUAGUUUGUAAGGUAACGGCUUACCAAGGCAACGAUGCGUAGCCGACCUGAGAGGGUGAUCGGCCACACUGGAACUGAGACACGGUCCAGACUCCUACGGGAGGAAGCAGUAGGGAAUCUUCCGCAAUGGGCGAAAGCUUGACGGAGCAACGCCGCGUGAGUGAUGAAGGUCUUCGGAUCGUAAAACUCUGUUAUUAGGGAAGAACAAAUGUGUAAGUAACUAUGCACGUCUUGACGGUACCUAAUCAGAAAGCCACGGCUAACUACGUG